rnacentral:misc_RNA from 1 species
AUCUUUUGAUCUGUCUUUUAUUUCAAUAUACCCAUCAGGAUGUUUUACAGCAAGAUCACCAGAGUGAUACCAGCCUCCUGCAAAAGCAGCUUCAUUGGCUUUCGGGUUCUUCAGGUAGCCUUUCAUCACAACAUUACCCCUGAAGACGAUUUCUCCCAUCGUUUUCCCAUCGGCUGGAACAGGUGUCAUGUCCGUGGGGUUAACUACAUCCAGAUGCUCCAGGCUUACAUAUCUCACUCCUUGACGUGCAUUGAGACGCGCUUGAACAUCUGUGGGAAGUAAAUCCCACUCAGGCUUCCAUGUGCAUAAAGUGGAGGGGCCAUAAGUUUCAGAAAGGCCAUAAGUGUGCAAGACACGGAAACCACGUUGAGUCAUUGCAGCAAGAACAGGAGGAGGAGGAGAAGCACCAGCAGUGCUUACAUGUACUAGCCGAGGCAGGGGAAGGAUGGUCUCCUCUUUUGAAGCAUUAACUAUGGUAUUGAGCACCACAGGU